UCCCUCAUGGUUUAGUGGUAAAGAAUCUGCCUGCCAGUGCAGGAGACAUAGGUUCAAUCCCUGAUCAGGGAA
rfam:TPA: Bos taurus chromosome 23, whole genome shotgun sequence.